UAAAUCCAUGAAACACCUCACGUGCCAUCAAUUGAAGCAUCUCCUCGGCUGAACAAUGGGAUCAAAUGGAAAAAACAAAGCCAGCGAACACAACCCCUCGGAAAAUACAAUCAACAAUAGCCGCUACCUCAAGUGGCAUCCAUUGACACAUCUCCUCUCAGCCGAAUAGUGGGAUCACUUGGACAAAACACAAUCAGCAAGAAUAACCACUAGCACAUACAAUCAACAACAGCCACCAGGGAAAAGCUGUUGUACACAUCUGCACACCCAACAAGAUGCUAUAUCGGCUGAUUGGAAAACAAACAGGAAGCGGGAGACGAAGAAUUUAUAUACAUAGCAAAACAAAAGUCGGAAAGAAUGCCCAAGAUCACUCCAGCAACCAUAACGGUCCAACAACAAUUAAGAAUAGCUCCACUGUCCACCUCCACAAAGGGUAAGCAAUUACUAUUCUUAUUGGUGAGUACUUCAUCACAUAGAGUAGUUCCCUAACUUUAUUGCUGGAGGGUCUUUGGUCGCCAUUUGCAUUUUCAUGUACAGUCGUUGCGGAGGUACAAAACCGGACAUUCAGAAUCUGACGUUAUCAAAUUUCAUUAGUAUUCCCCAGUAUCUCAUAUAUAAAAAGAAAAAAUUGUAAAUGAUAAUUGUUUCUUCUUCACAUCUCGUUAACAUAAUUUAAUUACCAAACUCAUAUCAAACACAUGCAAGUAGUUGCAACUGAAUAUUCAUACAAUGCUUGAUUAUAGGAUGAUCAUACAAAAAUUGCGAGUAAUUAUUAAGUCACCCUCGUUGUAGGAUUAAAACUGUAAUAAUUAGAUUAAUUAGUUAUCCACGAGUCCCAAUUAGUUCACAUUUAGUUACGUAAUUUGAUGAUAAGAUAAUAAGGUAUUAUGAGACACUAUAUCUGUUGAACAUGGGAUAAUUCAAUCUUUUGUGAGUGUGAUAAAGUUGAUGUAAUAAAAUUUUAUAGACAAAAAUAACAAAUACGCAUUAAUUUCAUUACAAUCUGGUCCGUAGGAAUGAAAAUGGGUAAGGUAUGGAUAGGGAAAACCCUCCAUACCCAUACUCGAAAACCCAUCUCCACCUCUACACCUAUCGGCUAUUAGUUUUGACCUCCAAACCAAAAUCUAUUUGGGUAUACCCGAUACCCGAGUUUAAAAAAAAAAUAAUAACCAAAAAAAUUCCUAUUCAUGCAUACCUGUAGUUCCAACCUAGGAAAAAAAAUAAUAAUCAUCUAGUAUAAAUUAUAAAUCCAAAUCCAAGCGUUUCACAAAAGCUAUUUUCAGGAAUAGAAAUCCACACCCAUAUAUAACACUAACUUAAUAACAAAAUCUGCUCAAAUAUGCAGCAAGCAAAAAUAGUCCCAAGCAACUGCUAAAACAAGAUGAACCAGUUGCUAAGGAAUAACAAUAAAUUGACCACCCCAAAAAAAUUUCUUGUAACCCUAAUUCCCAUAUCUUAUCUAUAUACAGGGUUAAAUUAAUAUAUAUACAAUUUCGGGUUUGGGUCGGUUAGAGGUAUCUCAUCCAUACCUAAUCCAUAUAUUCCCGAAUGGGUAUUUCACUCAUCUCCCAUACCCACAUCCAAUGGGUGAAAAAUCCAGUAAUGCUCAUCUCCGAAUGGACAAUGAACCAGUUGCUAAGGAAUAACAAAUAAAUUGACCACCCCCAAAAAAAUUUCUUGUAACCCUAAUUCCCAUAUCUUAUCUAUAUGUAGGGUUAAAUUAAUAUAUAUACAAUUUCGGAUUUGGGUCGGUUAGAGGUAUCUCAUCCAUACCUAAUCCAUAUAUUCCCGAAUGGGUAUUUCACUCAUCUCCCAUACCCACGUCCAAUGGGUGAAAAAUCCAGUAAUACUCAUCUCCGAACGGACAAUUUGGUAGGGCUCCAAUAGAAUUUAGACGGAAUUGUCAUCCCUACUGAUCCCAACUAAAAAUUUGAUAGGAUGCAUUACUUUAUCCGCCUUAAUAUUCCUUUUCCAGUCCAAGUAUGUCUUUAUCCUUCUUUAUCUGUAUGGCCUCGAUGUAUUAAGAAAUCUAGUUAAGGUUGAGUUGAAUUUGUUCAAGUAGAUAACUCAAAAGAAGCCUCUUUCAUGGUUUGAGUCAGGGUGCCCUCCCGCCCGUGGCCCACCCAGCCCACUAUUCUAAGGACUCGCUUUUGACAUUUUGUCCAAUGGUCGAGCUGGGUUGAAGUUUUAAUUUUUAUACUGUGGUGGUGAAGUGGUAGAUGUGGCAAUAGGUGGAGCUACCUGGUUCCCAGUCACUGGUGCCACAUGGUGGUGGUAGUAGAGGCUAAAGUUUUUUUUUUUUUUUUGAUGUAUGAGACCAUCAAGGCCUCCCAAAAAAUUCUGAUUGAAGAAAAUUUAAAAAUUUAAAAACAAAGUGAUUAAAUUGAUUGUUGGGCCUAUAAUUUUUUCUUUAAGUGUUGUCAAUUACGUGCGACAAAAUAUAAUCUUUUUAUGUAUUUUAUAUUUUGAGGGUUAAGAAUUAAAGCCAAAAGUACAAGUC
rnacentral:lncRNA from 1 species